UGGGUCGGAUCUGCUGGCCCACUGGCACCGGUCUGCUGGGCGCUGGACUUGACUGGGACUUGGGCUCAGAUUGGGCCUACUGCUUCGGCCUGCUACAGAUUUUUUCUCUUCUCUUUUUCUUUUUUUUUUGACAGACUUGUUGGGUUUGGCCUGCUAAAGCUAUUGGGCUGCUGCUUUUAUUUUUUUGUUAUUACCUUUUUUAUUUUCUUUUUCUUUCUUUUUCUCUCUUUUUCUUUCUCCCUUCUUCUUCUUUCCUUUUCUUUUUUCUUUCUUUCAAGCCCCAGUCGCCGCUUCUCCUCCGUCGUCCACUGCCGCCGUCGACUCCUCCGUUCGAUGGCGCUAGUCUCGGCGUUCUCUCCUCCUCUGCUCUUCCUCUAUUCCUUUCUCCUCUUUGCUUCUUUUUUGAAUUUCUUUUCUCCUCUUUUUCUCCUAAUUCGGCACCCCCCUAAAAUCGAGGACACCGCCGCCGUGCUCGUCCUCGACUCCUCUCUGCACUCGGUGGCCGACGAUUCAAAGGUAAAUGUUUUUCCCUCCUCAAAACUUGGUUCUUGGCUGCUACUUGUUGUUGAUUUUGAUUUUUUUUGAGUUCUUGUUGGUUGUUUCUUGAUUGGCUCCUAGAUGGGACGGUGGUGGUUGUGUCUCAGUAGUGGUGGCGCAACGAUGGCGAUGAGUGUGGGAUCGGCGACUGGGAGUGUUUCUUUGCUUGAAAUUUUGCUGUUUUUUUUUGCUUUUUCCCGAAAAAAUUGAGAGAACCCCCCUUUUAAUCUGCUCACUUUGUCCUUUUUCUAAUUGUUUUCAGGUGGCAGAGGAGCCAUCAUGGCCUAGGGAGGCUGCUGGAGUAGCUCGGCUGGGAGGGGUACGCUCGGCUGUUGAUUGUGGCGAUUAGACAAAUCCAGGAGGACCAAAUUGCAGAGGAUGCAAAGCUCCUGGGGCAAAAGUGUAAUUUUAGCAAAAGAUGGGCCAAAAAUGUAAUUUCUUGAGAGUUUAGGGGUUAAAGUGCAAUUUUGAGAAAGUUUAGGGGUUGAAAUGUAAUUUUAGAAAAGUUUAGGGUCAAAAUGUAAAUUUUAGAAAAGUUUGGGGUCAAAAUGUAAAUUUCAAAAAGUACAAGGGUUAAAAAGUAAUUUUUAUUUUUUUGAAUUUUUCAAAA
rnacentral:lncRNA from 1 species